GACGAACGCUGGCGGCGUGCUUAACACAUGCAAGUCGAACGGAAAGGCCCUGCUUUUGUGGGGUGCUCGAGUGGCGAACGGGUGAGUAACACGUGAGUAACCUGCCCUUGACUUUGGGAUAACUUCAGGAAACUGGGGCUAAUACCGGAUAGGAGCUCCUGCUGCAUGGUGGGGGUUGGAAAGUUUCGGCGGUUGGGGAUGGACUCGCGGCUUAUCAGCUUGUUGGUGGGGUAGUGGCUUACCAAGGCUUUGACGGGUAGCCGGCCUGAGAGGGUGACCGGCCACAUUGGGACUGAGAUACGGCCCAGAAUCCUACGGGAGGCAGCAGUGGGGAAUAUUGCACAAUGGGCGGAAGCCUGAUGCAGCAACGCCGCGUGCGGGAUGACGGCCUUCGGGUUGUAAACCGCUUUCGACUGUGACGAAGCGUGAGUGACGGUAAUGGGUAAAGAAGCACCGGCUAACUACGUG
rnacentral:rRNA from 1 species